GACGAACGCUGGCGGCGUGCUUAACACAUGCAAGUCGAACGGAAAGGCCCCUUUGGGGGUACUCGAGUGGCGAACGGGUGAGUAACACGUGAGUAACCUUCCCUUGACUUCGGGAUAACUUCAGGAAACUGGGGCUAAUACCGGAUAGGAAUCCUUGCUGCAUGGUGGGGGUUGGAAAGCUUCGGCGGUUUUGGAUGGACUCGCGGCUUAUCAGCUUGUUGGUGGGGUAGUGGCUUACCAAGGCUUUGACGGGUAGCCGGCCUGAGAGGGCGACCGGCCACAUUGGGACUGAGAUACGGCCCAGACUCCUACGGGAGGCAGCAGUGGGGAAUAUUGCACAAUGGGCGGAAGCCUGAUGAAGCAACGCCGCGUGCGGGAGGACGGCCUUCGGGUUGUAAACCGCUUUCAGCAGGGGCGAAGCUUGUGGUGACGGUACCUGCAGAAGAAGCACCGGCUAACUACGUG
rnacentral:rRNA from 1 species